AUGCUUCCAACUAGUGAUGGAGUCUCACUAUGUUGCCUAGGUGGGUCUCAAAUUCCUGGCAUCAAGCAAUCCUCCUGCCUUAGCCUCCCAAAGUACUGAAAUUUCAGGUGAAUCUCCUCAAACCUAAGGGUGUUCAGUUGGGGAAGAGGUGACUGUGUGUGGUGACGGCCCCAGAGGACAGAAUAUUAAUAAUGUAGUUGAUAACCUUCAACACAGGUCGUGGCACUUUACUGGGAAAAGAGAUUUGUGGCAGUCCUUAUUUCUCAGGAGUCUCUGCUUUUACUCAGGUAGGGGAAGCUCUGCAAAGCCUUCUUUCUGUGUCUGUUGAAUCCCAAACGUCUUCAGCUUAAGAUAAUUUUCAUGCCAAAGUGGAGUAUUUUAGGGCAGCAUAUUCUGAUCCUCUUCAAAACCGUGUCAACCUAGAGGUUCUAGAUUUUAUGUGGAAUCUGGAAAGAGCAGUGCUUGGGUGGAUCUGAUUUAUAAUUUCUUACUGCUUAGUGGGCAGAAUAUAGUACGUGAUGCAAUAAC
rnacentral:lncRNA from 1 species